GACGAACGCUGGCGGCGUGCUUAACACAUGCAAGUCGAACGGAAAGACCCUGCUUUUGUGGGGUUCUCGAGUGGCGCAGGCGUGAGUAACACGUGUGUAACCUGCCCUUGUCUUUCGGGUAACUUCACGAAACUGGGGCUAAUACAGGAUAGGAUCUCCUGCUCCAUGGUGGGGGUUGGAACGUCUCGGCUGUUGGGGAUGGACUCGCGGAUUAUCAGCUUGUUUGUGGGGUAGUCGCUUACCCAGGCUGUGACGGAUAGCCGACCUGAGCGCGUGACCGGCGACAUUGGGACUGAGAGACGCACCAGACGGCUAUGGGAGGCAGCGGGCGGGAGCAUGGCACAGUGGGCGGAAGUGUGAGGCAGAAGCGCCGCGUGCGGAAAGACGGCUUGCUGGGUGUGAACAGCUGUCGCCUGUGACGAAGCGGGAGUGACGGUAAUGAGUAAAGAAGCACCGGCUAACUACGUG
rnacentral:rRNA from 1 species